rnacentral:lncRNA from 1 species
UGCCCCAUGGAAUGAUUGAGACUGGCCGGGAGACAUCAAGAGGUAUUAAUGUGUAUUUUGCAAGGAAGGUGCAGGAGCUGGGGCCUUACCUGCAGUUGCUGAUGGAUUUCUUAGUGAGAAAAAUGGUGACUACACAGCAAGAACAGCAGCAAAAGGAAAGGCACCAAGUGUAAAGGAAGAAUAUUUGAAGCAGAACAGAAAUAAUUUCUGAGCAAGAAGGGCUAUGUGAUGAUGCUUCAUUCAG